GACGAACGCUGGCGGCGUGCUUAACACAUGCAUGUCGAACGGAAAGGCCCUGCUUGCUGGGUACUCGAGUGGCGAACGGGUGAGUAACACGUGGGUGAUCUGCCCUUCACUUCGGGAUACGCCUGGGAAACUGGGCCUAAUACCCGAUAGGAGCCAUUUUGAGUGUGAUGGUUGGAAAGUUUUUUCGGUGUAGGAUGAGCUCGCGGCCUAUCAGCUUGUUGGUGGGGUAAUGGCCUACCAAGGCGGCGACGGGUAGCCGGCCUGAGAGGGUGGACGGCCAUACUGGGACUGAGGGACGGCCGAGACGCCGACGGGAGGAAGCAGGGGGGAAGAGUGAACCAUGGGCGCGGGGCUGAUGCAGCGACGCCGCGUGGGGGAUGACGGCCUUCGGGUUGUAAACUCCUUUCGCUAGGGACGAAGCUUUUUGUGACGGUACCUAGAUAAGAAGCACCGGCUAACUACGUG
rnacentral:rRNA from 1 species